rnacentral:rRNA from 1 species
GGGUAGUAAAAAUUUUUAAACCUAAAGAAUUUGGCGGUACUUUAUUCUUACUAGAGGAACCUGCUCUUGGAUCGAUAAUCCACGUUUAAAUGUACAUGUUUUGGUUUUCAGUAUGUAUACCGCCGUUGUCAGAUUAUUUUUAAAAAAUAUAAUCUAAUAAGUAGUUAAUUAGGACUUCAGGUCAAGGUGCAGCUUAUAAGCAUGGGAGUAGUGGGUUACAAUAAAUUAAAAUUAUACGGAUUAAUUAAUGUGAUGUUGAUUAUGAAGGUGGAUUUAGUAGUAAAUUGAGAAUAAAAUUCUUUUUUGAAAUGAGCUCUGAA